UGUUUUGUUUGUAAUCAUUUGCUCUGAAAUGAUCAGAUGGAUCAGGCCCACAUCUAGAACGUACCACCAUCAAGGGGGUGGGGAGGUGUUUCUCCGUCUUUCAAAGAACAUGCCUCUUCCUGUGUGCAGGUAAACAAGGGACCCAACACUCAAAGGUGCCUGAAGGUGCUGGAGAUUCAGCCAACAAGACCCAAGAGCCCUACAGUCAACAUACGCAGACCCAGCAGGUGCGGAGUGAGAUGCCGGCUACGAGAUCCCGGCUGAGACAGGAAAAGCAGCAGCCGGCCCACUGGAGGCAGAGGCGGUGGGGAGGGUGGCCGCAAGGAUCGAAUGAGAUCCUGGCAGGAAGUCAGCACACGCUUCUUGGAAGUUGAAAUGACAGUGAAGAGUCUCUGAUUUGAAGAUUCGGUAAACCUGUGGCUCAAGAUCUACUGAUCCUAAAUGUUUACGAAGUGAAGACUAAAGUUACUAGAAUGUCA